AUUGAACGCCGGCGGCAGGCUUAACACAUGCAAGUCGAGCGGGGGAAGGUAGCUUGCUACCGGACCUAGCGGCGGACGGGUGAGUAAUGCUUAGGAAUCUGCCUAUUAGUGGGGGACAACAUCUCGAAAGGGAUGCUAAUACCGCAUACGUCCUACGGGAGAAAGCAGGGGAUCUUCGGACCUUGCGCUAAUAGAUGAGCCUAAGUCGGAUUAGCUAGUUGGUGGGGUAAAGGCCUACCAAGGCGACGAUCUGUAGCGGGUCUGAGAGGAUGAUCCGCCACACUGGGACUGAGACACGGCCCAGACUCCUACGGGAGGCAGCAGUGGGGAAUAUUGGACAAUGGGGGGAACCCUGAUCCAGCCAUGCCGCGUGUGUGAAGAAGGCCUUAUGGUUGUAAAGCACUUUAAGCGAGGAGGAGGCUACUUUAGUUAAUACCUAGAGAUAGUGGACGUUACUCGCAGAAUAAGCACCGGCUAACUCUGUGCCAGCAGCCGCGGUAAUACAGAGGGUGCGAGCGUUAAUCGGA
rnacentral:rRNA from 1 species